ACAAGUACCGUGAGGGAAAGUUGAAAAGAACUUAGAGGUGAGAGUUCAACAGGGCGUAAAACCGCAUAGAAGUAAACGGUUGGUGCUGACAUUGUUUCUGCUGAAUUCAGCCGGUCUGACGGUUGACCGUUUGCAUGCCGAUCGCAAGACGGUGUGUAGAGUGUGCUCGAUCUAGGGCUGGUGCAUUUUCGGUAGAAUGCAUCAUGACCGCUGGCGCUGCUGGCAUAAGGCCGUUUGGUUGCCGUCUGUAGGUCUCCGGACUUGCAGUGCCCCACCAUUCGUGUCCUGUCCGAGUUGGCGUCAACGGGUAACUGGACGUGCCCGACAUGUCUCAUCUUCUGCUUUACGUUGGCUGAUCGAAUCGUUCGACCGUGCAUGCACGGUUGGGCAACCCCCAGUCUUCGUAGGGUAGCUGCUUGAGACGGCACUGAAGGUCUAUGGUGUCCGCGUCAGUCUCCCAACCGACCCGUCUUGAAACACGGACCAAGGAGUCUAACAUGUGCGCAAGUCAUGGGGUUGAAAACCCAAAGGCGUAAUGAAAGUAAAGGCCGCAAGGCUGAGGUGUGAUGGUCGGUUAUACCGGCUCGCAACACCGCCCCAUCGCAUCGGCUCGUCCGGGCGGUGGAGGAAGAGCGUACACGUUGGGACCCGAAAGAUGGUGAACUAUGCCUGAGCAGGAUGAAGCCAGAGGAAACUCUGGUGGAGGUCCGUAGCGGUUCUGACGUGCAAAUCGAUCGUCAGACUUGGGUAUAGGGGCGAAAGACUAAUCGAACCAUCUAGUAGCUGGUUCCUUCCGU
rnacentral:rRNA from 1 species